AUUGAACGCUGGCGGCAUGCCUUACACAUGCAAGUCGAACGGUAACGGGCCUUCGGGUGCCGACGAGUGGCGCACGGGUGAGUAAUACAUCGGAACGUGCCCGAUCGUGGGGGAUAACGCGGCGAAAGCUUUGCUAAUACCGCAUACGAUCUACGGAUGAAAACAGGGGACCGCAAGGCCUUGCGCGGACGGAGCGGCCGAUGGCAGAUUAGGUAGUUGGUGGGAUAAAAGCUUACCAAGCCGACGAUCUGUAGCUGGUCUGAGAGGAUGAUCAGCCACACUGGAACUGAGACACGGCCCAGACUCCUACGGGAGGCAGCAGUGGGGAAUUUUGGACAAUGGGCGCAAGCCUGAUCCAGCCAUGCCGCGUGCAGGAUGAAGGCCUUCGGGUUGUAAACUGCUUUUGUACGGAACGAAAAGCCUUCUUUUAAUACAGGAGGGUCAUGACGGUACCGUAAGAAUAAGCACCGGCUAACUACGUG
rnacentral:rRNA from 1 species